CUGAGAUUUGUCAGUGUUUUCUGAUAUUUAAAGAAAUAUUCAUGUUUUCUGCCCACAACUUGGUGUUUCCUGCUUUCUAAACAUGGGAUCCUUGCCUCUGGCUGAGGUGUGGUUCAUUCAGGAGAUUAAAAGUGUGAAACUGCACGGGGAAACACAAGAAGGCUUGUCUCUGCAGACAGGCAAAGGUGAGGGCAUGAAGAUGUAUAACUGUCCCAGGUGGGAGAAGAGUACAGUUCACCCCCUCAGGAUUUGAAUCAGGAAGUUGAAAUGCAUCCUGAAAUUUACCUUGCCCAGAGGUCUGGGAAAACUGGAGCAAGUGGGAAAAGCUUCUUCCUUCAUAAAUGCAGGUAGAUAAUUUUGUUUUUCAAACAUUGUGGUAAAUUAUUAAUGUAAUGAGGUGG
rnacentral:lncRNA from 1 species